AAGGAGAGACUGAGGCCGAGAGUUCUUUUUUAAUUUAUUUUAAGAAGCAGAGAUAUGGAUGGAGGCAAAUUGGUUGCAUUGUGCAUUUCGCUCUGUUGACUUGCCCCCUGGACCACCACCACGAGGCACGUGGAAGAUUGUUUUUUGUCCAACAGUUCUCAGACUUUUCCUGCGUAAGACGUAGUUUACUACUACUCUGCUAUGACAAGGAGGUCGGAUGAGUUCGCUGUUUUUCAGACGUUGCCGUCCCUGCCUAUGAUAAAAUGGCGUGGGCGUUCUGCCCCUCUGUAUUUCUUUGGUUGCUAGGAUGCAUUCUGAGUCCAGUGCAGAUUUACUCUCAUAUAUAUUGCCAGGGCGUGGAAGUUAAUUUGAAUUGAUGUGUGUCAUCUUUCCCUUGUGUGAAGGACAUAAGUGUGAAAUAUUUUGGUUGCAUGGAGGGUAGGAGUGCCUGCAAGCAUGUGGGAUACUAUAGCAGUUGCCCACUUUUGGUUCCUAGUGACCAAGUAUGGGGUGUUCGUAGCAUGCCUCACAAUGCCACAAGGAAGACCUCAGGCCCUCGUGCGAUUACCUUGCUUUCCGAGGAGGUGUACGGUUAUAGAUUUAGUGGGAGUGCCUAGUCUGUCUCAAAGAGUAGUUUGAGAUCAGGGGAUGUACUGAGUAGCAACUUUCAUGUGAACUGUAGCUGUAGUGUGUGUUUACUGGUAUCAACGAAGACAUGGAGGACUAAUUUGUCUGAAUAUCAGCGUUUCAGAAGAUCAGUUGUGUGCGUGAUGGGGAAGCAGCUUUUUUGGAGUUGGAGAUGUGAAGAACCAGACAGAACAAAGCACCUGUAGUGUUUGUGACUUGGAUAAGGAAUUGCAUUGUUCAGGUCGUGGAGACAGCAUGUAUUGCUCUGAAGUCAAGCACGACGGAUCCGUUACCGUCGUCAGUGCUGGGAAAUAAUUUGCUGUUUCUUGGUGGCAUCCCUGAAUUUUAAUGAAGAUGAGAAUACAGUGCAGCAGCUUUUCUCCUGUCCAAGUUCUGAUGAUCCACAUGUGGAGAUCUCCGCAGUCCAUGGGAUUGCGUGCAGAUUGCAGGACAAGCAA